CAUUCCUACGGGGCGCAGCAGUGGGGAAUAUUGGGCAAUGGGCGCAAGCCUGACCCAGCAACGCCGCGUGAAGGAAGAAGGCUUUCGGGUUGUAAACUUCUUUUAUCAGGGACGAAGCAAGUGACGGUACCUGAUGAAUAAGCCACGGCUAACUACGUGCCAGCAGCCGCGGUAAUACGUAGGUGGCAAGCGUUAUCCGGAUUUACUGGGUGUAAAGGGCGUGUAGGCGGGAGUGCAAGUCAGAUGUGAAAACUAUGGGC
rnacentral:rRNA from 1 species